rnacentral:rRNA from 1 species
CCUACGGGAGGCAGCAGUGAGGAAUAUUGGUCAAUGGGCUUACGCCUGAACCAGCCAAGUCGCGUGAGGGAAGACUGCCCUAUGGGUUGUAAACCUCUUUUGUCAGGGAGCAACGCCGGCUACGUGUAGCCGGACUGAGAGUACCUGAAGAAAAAGCAUCCGCAAACUCCGUGCCAGCCGCCGCGGUAAUACGGAGGAUGCGAGCGUUAUCCGGAUUUAUUGGGUUUAAAGGGUGCGUAGGCGGAAUGCCAAGUAAGCGGUAAAAUCGCGGGGCUCAACCUCGCUCCGCCGUUGAAACUGGCGUUCUUGAGUGGGCGAGAGGAUAGCGGAAUGCGUGGUGUAGCGGUGAAAUGCAUAGAGAUCACGAAGAACUCCGAUUGCGAAGGCAGCAUUCCGGCGCCCAACUGACGCUGAGGCACGAAAGCGUGGGUAUCGAACAGGAUUAGAUACCCCUGUAGUC